rfam:Myotis lucifugus cont2.1379, whole genome shotgun sequence.
GGUGGUUCUCGGGUGACACACCCUGGAAUCCAGCUCCCUCCUCUCUGGAGGGAGCAUCACCAGAGAACUGCA